rnacentral:tRNA from 1 species
GCCGAAGUGGUGGAAUGGCAGACACAGCAGACUCAAAAUCUGCCGGUAGCGAUACCUUGUGGGUUCAAGUCCCAUCUCCUGUA